rnacentral:rRNA from 1 species
UCGCACGAGAAACACAUCCUUCGGGGUGUGGAGUAAAGUGGCGCACGGGUGAGUAACACGUGGGUAACCUGCCCUUGGAACCGGGAUAACUGGCCGAAAGGCCCGCUAAUACCGGAUAAGACCACAUGAGCUUCGGCUUAUGCGGCCAAAGUCGGCCUCUCGAAGAAGCCGGCGUCUGAGGAUGGGCCCGCGGACCAUUAGCUAGUUGGUGGAGUAACGGUUCACCAAGGCUGAGAUGGUUAGCUGGUCUGAGAGGAUGAUCAGCCACACUGGAACUGAGAUACGGUCCAGACUCCUACGGGAGGCAGCAGUGAGGAAUAUUGCGCAAUGGAGGCAACUCUGACGCAGCAACGCCGCGUGGGUGAAGAAGGCUUUCGGGUUGUAAAGCCCUGUCAGGUGGGAAGAAACCUCCCUGAGUGAAUAGUUCAGGGAACUGACGGUACCACCAAAGGAAGCACCGGCUAACUCCGUGCCAGCAGCCGCGGUAAGACGGAGGGUGCAAGCGUUGUUCGGGAUCACUGGGCGUAAAGCGCGUGUAGGCGGUUCGAUUAGUCGAGUGUGAAAGCCCGAGGCUCAACUUCGGAAGCGCAUUCGAAACUGUCGGGCUUGAGUACGGGAGAGGGAAGUGGAAUUCCUGGUGUAGAG